rnacentral:rRNA from 1 species
UGGGGAAUAUUGCACAAUGGGCGCAAGCCUGAUGCAGCCAUGCCGCGUGUAUGAAGAAGGCCUUCGGGUUGUAAAGUACUUUCAGCGGGGAGGAAGGGAGUAAAGUUAAUACCUUUGCUCAUUGACGUUACCCGCAGAAGAAGCACCGGCUAACUCCGUGCCAGCAGCCGCGGUAAUACGGAGGGUGCAAGCGUUAAUCGGAAUUACUGGGCGUAAAGCGCACGCAGGCGGUUUGUUAAGUCAGAUGUGAAAUCCCCGGGCUCAACCUGGGAACUGCAUCUGAUACUGGCAAGCUUGAGUCUCGUAGAGGGGGGUAGAAUUCCAGGUGUAGCGGUGAAAUGCGUAGAGAUCUGGAGGAAUACCGGGGGCGAUGGCGGCCCCCUGGACGAAGACUGACGCUCAGGUGCGAAAGCGUGGGGAGCAAACAGG